AUUGAACGCUGGCGGCAUGCUUUACACAUGCAAGUCGAACGGCAGCGGGGUAGUGCUUGCACUACUGCCGGCGAGUGGCGAACGGGUGAGUAAUAUAUCGGAACGUACCGAGUAAUGGGGGAUAACCAAUCGAAAGAUUGGCUAAUACCGCAUACGUCCUGAGGGAGAAAGCGGGGGAUCGCAAGACCUCGCGUUAUUCGAGCGGCCGAUAACUGAUUAGCUAGUUGGUGGGGUAAAGGCCUACCAAGGCGACGAUCAGUAGCGGGUCUGAGAGGACGAUCCGCCACACUGGGACUGAGACACGGCCCAGACUCCUACGGGAGGCAGCAGUGGGGAAUUUUGGACAAUGGGGGCAACCCUGAUCCAGCCAUGCCGCGUGUAUGAAGAAGGCCUUCGGGUUGUAAAGUACUUUUGUUAGGGAAGAAAAGGGAAGUGCUAAUACCACUUUUUGCUGACGGUACCUAAAGAAUAAGCACCGGCUAACUAUGUG
rnacentral:rRNA from 1 species